rnacentral:rRNA from 1 species
GAUGAACGCUGGCGGUAUGCCUAACACAUGCAAGUCGUACGAGAGUUUUUAACUCUAGUGGCGGACGGGUGAGUAACACGUGAGAAUUUGCCUUUAGGAGGGGGAUAACAAUUGGAAACGAAUGCUAAUACCCCAUAUGCUUUUGAGUGAAACGGAUUUAUCCGCCUAGAGAGAAGCUCGCGGCUGAUUAGCUUGUUGGUAAGGUAAGAGCUUACCAAGGCGACGAUCAGUAUCUGGUUUGAGAGGACGAUCAGACACACUGGAACUGAGACACGGUCCAGACUCCUACGGGAGGCAGCAGUGGGGAAUUUUCCGCAAUGGGCGAAAGCCUGACGGAGCAAUACCGCGUGAGGGAAGACUGCCUAUGGGUUGUAAACCUCUUUUUUCCUAGGGAGGAAGUAAAUAGACGUGUACCUGAAGAAUAAGCAAUCGGCUAACUCCGUG